CUCCAAUUCUGGAGCCACUGGGCGCACACAAGCAAGGCAGCUGCAAUGAGUUCUUUGUGCUCUAUCAUCUCCUCCUGGUGGCUCCGGCUCCUGGUGCUUCCAGACUGGACCAAACCACCAACGUUCCAAGAAGCCAGUAAGGACAAGAAUAUCCUGUUUUGUUUGUGCCUCUAAUUGAUUGACAUUACAGAAGAAUGUGGCUUCUUCUUGAAAAAUGACUUCAAGAAUAACUGAAUUAGCUAGAAUGGCCCAGUCCUCACCAUCUGAUGUCAGUGGUCUCAGCUCCAAUUAGGUUACUUUUG
rnacentral:lncRNA from 1 species